rnacentral:rRNA from 1 species
AAACGUUGAUUAUAUAAAACAUUCCGCCCGGGUAUUACGAACAUAAGUUUAAAACCCAAAGGACUUGGCGGUGCUUAACAUCCACCUAGAGGAGCCUGUUCUAGAACCGAUAUUCCCCGUUAAACCUCACCCCCUCUUGCCCUUCCCGCCUAUAUACCGCCGUCGUAAGCUUACCCUGUGAAGGCUCUAUAGUGAGCAAAAUCGGCAAACCCCAGAACGUCAGGUCGAGGUGUAGUGAAUGAGGGGGGAAGAAAUGGGCUACAUUUACUAGCCAUAGUAAACACGAACGAAAUGUUGAAAUACAUAACUGAAGGAGGAUUUAGCAGUAAGUGGAAAACAGAG